rnacentral:rRNA from 1 species
UACAGAGGUCUCAAGCGUUGUUCGGAAUCACUGGGCGUAAAGCGUGCGUAGGCUGUUUCGUAAGUCGUGUGUGAAAGGCGCGGGCUCAACCCGCGGACGGCACAUGAUACUGCGAGACUAGAGUAAUGGAGGGGGAACCGGAAUUCUCGGUGUAGCAGUGAAAUGCGUAGAUAUCGGGAGGAACACUCGUGGCGAAGGCGGGUUCCUGGACAUUAACUGACGCUGAGGCACGAAGGCCAGGGGAGCGAAAGGG